AAGGAGUCGGCACGAGCCAGAGACGCCUAGAAUGUGGUCCAAACACCAGGCGCUUCAAGUGAGGAGCAGUCGAAGAGCGGAAACAGAAUCUCGAGGGUGAGAACAGCGUCUUGAUCUCACUCUGAAAAAGAGGGGGGAAAAGUGUAAUGUGGAUGGAAAACUCCAAUGAGAGGAGUUGGGGCCAUGAAAGUGCUAACAUGAGAGUUUGGGAAAAGCACAUCAAGUAGGAAAAGUGAGCAGCCAAAGAAGUCAGGAAGGAAACAGGGAAAGAAAAGCCUUGGGAAGCAGUGAGAAAGCUUGUCAGGUUCAGGAACUUGGGGAGAAGGCAGAAAGGGGUCUGUGAAAGUCACUUGGGGUCACUUGGCGUUGGCUUUGGGCUCUCGGGUGACAAGUCAGAAACCAUCUUGCACUUAGUUCCAAACACUUUGAGAAAUGCAAAAAGUCAGAGCCACAGAGAUUUUGGAGCCCGUGUGUCAGCUGGUCUCAGCUCACUGGUAAGAAAUUGAGAAGUGAUGUGAUGUGCCCCGGGGCCUCAUGGCCAGGAAGGGACAGAGGGGUCAUGAACUGGGUUUUGGUUUUGAGUCACUUCCUCCCACCCCCAUGUUUCUUGCAUUGGAGGCGAAUCCUGGGCAUUGCUGGGCAUGAAGUCUCUGCCCUGCACUGUCCUGAGUCCUGACUCUGAAUGAGGCAUUGUGUCCUUACUGGGUGCAGGACUCAGUCUAGUGGGGCCCCUGCCUGCUCUUGCUCUCCUGUCAUCCUCACAAUAAUCCUUCGAUCGUGGAUAUUGGUAUCAUCCCCAGUAUAGACACAGGAAAGUGAGAUCUAGAGAAUUAAUGUCUGCCCACGGUCACGGAGCCACUGAGUUUUCUCCACAGCGAACCCAUCACUGUUCAGAGUUUCUAGAGGUGGUUUGCCUUGUUAAGAAAGUUUCCAUACAAGUCAGUACAGACUCGAAACUCUGAUCAAUCACCACUGCCUGGCCCCUUGGUGACCAAAUGCCUCCUUGGCUGUACGCCUGGUUAUAUGUUUGUGAUACCACACAUUUUAUCCAUGGCAUUGGCCUAAUAAAGACUGGUUUUAUGUGUAAUGAAGAUAAAGACAAGGACAGCUGGUUUACCGAUGACUGAUGGCAACCCCAGGCACUUUCCCUGCUGGGCACAUCUCAUCUUCCCUCUGCAGGUAACAGCAGCAGCUACGGCAGUUACCUUGAUCCACUCAGCUCAGAAGCAGCGGGCAGUACUGAGCCCUGGAGGCCAGGCAGGCUCAGGAUCUGGCCAACUUCUUUACUCCUCACCUGUGCCUGGUCCAGGCCUCUCCUGGGUCCCAGGGGACUUGGUGGAUGCUCAGUCAUUGCUGUACCAUUGUCAUGACAGCAGCUGGAGGAAAGAUACAGCAGUGAACAAAGCACAAGAGACCUCAGCCUCAUGGAACUCAAAUCCCUGUCCUUGUGGAGCGACACAGACAACACACAAAAUUUCACAUACUGUAGAACGUCGAAUAGACUUGAAACAACUCUCCACCUGAAAGGCAGCACGACUGGCCACAUAUUGAGGAAGUAAAUAUCAAGGACACCAGGGUGACCAUCCCAUCUGGAGUCCUCGAUGCUUUUACAAGCAGAGCUUUGGCUGCCAGUCUUCAGCAAGCCAUGAGGCCAGAAAAUGGGGGAGAACGGCAAGCCAGGCCGGGGAAUUUCUCCAGCUGAGGAACGCGAGGCCUCUUAUCCCACCAAGCUCAGCGACCAACAGCUUCUGAUAAAACUCAAGUAACACUGUCAGAAGUGGAGCCCUCGCCCGUUCAUCAGGUAAAUGGCUUUCUGUUUUCACCAGUUAACAAACAGCCGCUGGAAACCUAUUCUCUAUUUGCUACAGACCUCUGUGUGGGGUUUAGAAGAAUAGAUUCUUGCUCUCAAAAAUCUUCAAUCUCAGUAGGGAAGACUGCUGAAACGAGCCAUUUUAGAGCUAUACUGUUACAGUAAUUGGGUAAGAGGGACAGAGAAGGGCUUAAGAGGGGACUCCAUCUGUGUAUGUGUGUACAGGGGGUGGGGACUAUAUCAUAUGAAUUUCUAUGUAGACGUAUCAUAAACUAUCUUAUCAGGAAUCACUUGGUGUGUUUCUGUGUUCUGCAGUGAACUCCCUUAUAUGUAUAUCCUGGUGAUUGCUUGGGAAUAUAUCUAGCCUAUAAACUUCUGGCACUGGAAUUGCUUGGUUAAAGGGUGAACAUUUCCAAAUUAUUUUCCAAGAAGGCAGCACCGGUCUCCUGUCCCUCCCUUCUCCUCCCUUCCCCACAGAUCCUCCAGGUCCUUACCAGCUGGCUGCAGCAAGCAUCUUAAUUUUUGCCAAUUCUAUAUGUGAAGAUAGUAUCCUGUUGUUUAGAUUUGCACUGUUAUGUUUAUUGGAUGCUUGUAUUUCUUUUUCUAGGGACUGGCAGGUGGUUCUUAGAGGGAACUUGAACUGGAGUUUCCCUCAUUUUGUCAACACUGUUGUAAAUUGCUGGUUUUCUUGUCUUUCACCAGCCCCUACCCUAUGCCUUAGCCCUCAGACUAGGAGAUCCAGAAACCUGGUCUUCUGGAAAUCUCGCUUCCCCAGCCUCUAGUGCAGUGUCUGCCUGUGCUGGUUUCCUUUUGGCUAAAUCUUAUUCCAUCUGCCACAUUUGUGGCUGACGCAACGUUACAUUUCAGCCUUACUUUCUAAAAGGGAAGGUGGGGCGGGCGUGGACUAGGUCUUUGAGAAGCUCCAAAGGAAAACAAAUUGGGCCUCCUAGCCUGAGCCAGGAAAUACAACAAAGAAUACUCCCGCCCCGCAACAGUGAAGGGAAAAAAAAGGCAAUCCUAAGUACUCCAAGCAGUGCCAAAUUCUGGGCAACUUAUUCAAGAGAGUUCACCAUAUACAAGAUGAGGUAGUCCUGAUGUAUUUACUGGAAACCAUGUUAAGGUAGGGGAUUCUGAUUUAGACUUUUAGACAUGACUAUAGUUUAGAAAUCUCACCAAAAUUUUUUUCCUUCCCAUCUAAUUCAACAAAUAUUUACUGACCAGCUAUAUGUGCUGAGCGUAUUGGGGGAGACAGCGAUCUCCAAGAUUGGGCUCCUGCUCCCUUUCCUCUUCCCCCUAGAUAAGAUGAGCCCAGUAAUCUAUGCCAAGUGCCAUUUUAGUGUUAUCAAAAAACUGUUGAUGGGGAAGGAGCAGUCACUUCCUGAUGGCUGCUGACCAGGUCAAGGUCAGUGGCCCCUGACAGACAAAUGGAUGGGCAGACAGACUUCUUGGAGUGAGACUAGGGAAGGCAAGCUGGGGUCCCACUUGGUUUCACAAGACCUGGAGGAUCUCAUUUUAAAGUGCUUCUUAAGUGGAUUUUGUAUCUGAUUGCAUUCAGGCAUUCUUCACAGCUCUUAAUGGUUUUGAAAUGGAUGAAAUGCAAGUGGAGGGAGGAAGGAGACCAAAGUGUAAAACCCAAGCUGUGUCAGAGAUGGGUUAAGGUGCUCCAGGGAGAAGAUUUCCUUUAUGCAAAUGACCCUGGGCCCUUUGAAGUGCACCCCGCUCUGGAAACUCUGGAAAC